AUUGAACGCUGGCGGCAGGCCUAACACAUGCAAGUCGAACGAGUGGCGGACGGGUGAGUAAUUUCUGGGCAACUGCCUGAUGGAGGGGGAUAACUCCUGGAAACGGUAGCUAAUACCGCAUAACAUCCGAUGUGCCCAGAUGGGAUUAGCUAGUAGGUGGGGUAAAGGCUCACCUAGGCGACGAUCCCUAGCUGGUCUGAGAGGAUGACCAGCCACACUGGCACUGAGACACGGUCCAGACGCCUACGGGAGGCAGCAGUGGGGAAUAUUGGACAAUGGGGGAAACCCUGAUCCAGCCAUCCCGCGUGUGUGAAGAAGGCCUUCGGGUUGUAAAGCACUUUUGGCAGGAAAGCGGUACCUGCAGAAUAAGCACCGGCUAACUACGUGCCAGCAGCCGCGGUAAUAC
rnacentral:rRNA from 1 species